rnacentral:rRNA from 1 species
UAGCCGUAAACGAUACUCGCUAGGUGUCGGCCACGGUGCGACCGUUGUCGGUGCCGUAGGGAAGCCGUGAAGCGAGCCACCUGGGAAGUACGGCCGCAAGGCUGAAACUUAAAGGAAUCGGCGGGGGAGCACCACAACGGGUGGAGCUUGCGGUUUAAUUGGAUUCAACGCCGGGAAGCUCACCGGAUAAGACAGCGGAAUGAUUGCCGGGCUGAAGACCCUGCAUGACCAGCUGAGAGGUGGUGCAUGGCGUAGUCGUGU